rnacentral:rRNA from 1 species
GGUUAAGCGACUAAGCGUACACGGUGGAUGCCCUGGCAGUCAGAGGCGAUGAAGGACGUGCUAAUCUGCGAUAAGCGUCGGUAAGGUGAUAUGAACCGUUAUAACCGGCGAUUUCCGAAUGGGGAAACCCAGUGUGAUUCGUCACACUAUCAUUAACUGAAUCCAUAGGUUAAUGAGGCGAACCGGGGGAACUGAAACAUCUAAGUACCCCGAGGAAAAGAAAUCAACCGAGAUUCCCCCAGUAGCGGCGAGCGAACGGGGAGGAGCCCAGAGCCUGAAUCAGUGUGUGUGUUAGUGGAAGCGUCUGGAAAGGCGCGCGAUACAGGGUGACAGCCCCGUACACAAAAAUGCACAUGCUGUGAGCUCGAUGAGUAGGGCGGGACACGUGGUAUCCUGUCUGAAUAUGGGGGGACCAUCCUCCAAGGCUAAAUACUCCUGACUGACCGAUAGUGAACCAGUACCGUGAGGGAAAGGCGAAAAGAACCCCGGCGAGGGGAGUGAAAAAGAACCUGAAACCGUGUACGUACAAGCAGUGGGAGCACGCUUAGGCGUGUGACUGCGUACCUUUUGUAUAAUGGGUCAGCGACUUAUAUUCUGUAGCAAGGUUAACCGAAUAGGGGAGCCGAAGGGAAACCGAGUCUUAACUGGGCGUUAAGUUGCAGGGUAUAGACCCGAAACCCGGUGAUCUAGCCAUGGGCAGGUUGAAGGUUGGGUAACACUAACUGGAGGACCGAACCGACUAAUGUUGAAAAAUUAGCGGAUGACUUGUGGCUGGGGGUGAAAGGCCAAUCAAACCGGGAGAUAGCUGGUUCUCCCCGAAAGCUAUUUAGGUAGCGCCUCGUGAAUUCAUCUCCGGGGGUAGAGCACUGUUUCGGCAAGGGGGUCAUCCCGACUUACCAACCCGAUGCAAACUGCGAAUACCGGAGAAUGUUAUCACGGGAGACACACGGCGGGUGCUAACGUCCGUCGUGAAGAGGGAAACAACCCAGACCGCCAGCUAAGGUCCCAAAGUCAUGGUUAAGUGGGAAACGAUGUGGGAAGGCCCAGACAGCCAGGAUGUUGGCUUAGAAGCAGCCAUCAUUUAAAGAAAGCGUAAUAGCUCACUGGUCGAGUCGGCCUGCGCGGAAGAUGUAACGGGGCUAAACCAUGCACCGAAGCUGCGGCAGCGACGCUUAUGCGUUGUUGGGUAGGGGAGCGUUCUGUAAGCCUGCGAAGGUGUGCUGUGAGGCAUGCUGGAGGUAUCAGAAGUGCGAAUGCUGACAUAAGUAACGAUAAAGCGGGUGAAAAGCCCGCUCGCCGGAAGACCAAGGGUUCCUGUCCAACGUUAAUCGGGGCAGGGUGAGUCGACCCCUAAGGCGAGGCCGAAAGGCGUAGUCGAUGGGAAACAGGUUAAUAUUCCUGUACUUGGUGUUACUGCGAAGGGGGGACGGAGAAGGCUAUGUUGGCCGGGCGACGGUUGUCCCGGUUUAAGCGUGUAGGCUGGUUUUCCAGGCAAAUCCGGAAAACUAAGGCUGAGGCGUGAUGACGAGGCACUACGGUGCUGAAGCAACAAAUGCCCUGCUUCCAGGAAAAGCCUCUAAGCAUCAGGUAACAUCAAAUCGUACCCCAAACCGACACAGGUGGUCAGGUAGAGAAUACCAAGGCGCUUGAGAGAACUCGGGUGAAGGAACUAGGCAAAAUGGUGCCGUAACUUCGGGAGAAGGCACGCUGAUAUGUAGGUGAAGUCCCUCGCGGAUGGAGCUGAAAUCAGUCGAAGAUACCAGCUGGCUGCAACUGUUUAUUAAAAACACAGCACUGUGCAAACACGAAAGUGGACGUAUACGGUGUGACGCCUGCCCGGUGCCGGAAGGUUAAUUGAUGGGGUCAGCGCAAGCGAAGCUCUUGAUCGAAGCCCCGGUAAACGGCGGCCGUAACUAUAACGGUCCUAAGGUAGCGAAAUUCCUUGUCGGGUAAGUUCCGACCUGCACGAAUGGCGUAAUGAUGGCCAGGCUGUCUCCACCCGAGACUCAGUGAAAUUGAACUCGCUGUGAAGAUGCAGUGUACCCGCGGCAAGACGGAAAGACCCCGUGAACCUUUACUAUAGCUUGACACUGAACAUUGAGCCUUGAUGUGUAGGAUAGGUGGGAGGCUUUGAAGUGUGGACGCCAGUCUGCAUGGAGCCGACCUUGAAAUACCACCCUUUAAUGUUUGAUGUUCUAACGUUGACCCGUGAUCCGGGUUGCGGACAGUGUCUGGUGGGUAGUUUGACUGGGGCGGUCUCCUCCUAAAGAGUAACGGAGGAGCACGAAGGUUGGCUAAUCCUGGUCGGACAUCAGGAGGUUAGUGCAAUGGCAUAAGCCAGCUUGACUGCGAGCGUGACGGCGCGAGCAGGUGCGAAAGCAGGUCAUAGUGAUCCGGUGGUUCUGAAUGGAAGGGCCAUCGCUCAACGGAUAAAAGGUACUCCGGGGAUAACAGGCUGAUACCGCCCAAGAGUUCAUAUCGACGGCGGUGUUUGGCACCUCGAUGUCGGCUCAUCACAUCCUGGGGCUGAAGUAGGUCCCAAGGGUAUGGCUGUUCGCCAUUUAAAGUGGUACGCGAGCUGGGUUUAGAACGUCGUGAGACAGUUCGGUCCCUAUCUGCCGUGGGCGCUGGAGAACUGAGGGGGGCUGCUCCUAGUACGAGAGGACCGGAGUGGACGCAUCACUGGUGUUCGGGUUGUCAUGCCAAUGGCACUGCCCGGUAGCUAAAUGCGGAAGAGAUAAGUGCUGAAAGCAUCUAAGCACGAAACUUGCCCCGAGAUGAGUUCUCCCUGACUCCUUGAGAGUCCUGAAGGAACGUUGAAGACGACGACGUUGAUAGGCCGGGUGUGUAAGCGCAGCGAUGCGUUGAGCUAACCGGUACUAAUGAACCGUGAGGCUUAACCUU